CGGGUGAGUAACGCGUGAGUGACCUAGCCUGGUGGUGGGGGGAUAACUGCCCGAAAGGGUGGCUAAUCCCGCAUGCGCCCUUUGGGUCGGACUAAAGGGGAAAGCUUCUGUGAGGGAGCGCCGGAGGGGGGCUUGCGUCCCAUUAGGUGGUUGGUGGGGUAGUGGCCUACCAAGCCUGUGAUGGGUAGCUGGUCUGAGAGGAUGGCCGGCCACACUGGGACUGAGAGACGGCCCAG
rnacentral:rRNA from 1 species